rnacentral:rRNA from 1 species
UACGUAGGCAGCAAGCGUUGUUCGGAGUUACUGGGCGUAAAGGGUGCGUAGGCGGUCCUAUAAGUCUGGUGUGAAAUCUCCCGGCUUAACUGGGAGGGUGCGCUAUAGACUGGGGGACUAGAGUGUGGGAGAGGAAAGUGGAAUUCCUGGUGUAGCGGUGAAAUGCGCAGAUAUCGGGAGGAACACCGGUGGCGAAGGCGGUUCUCUGGGCCUUACCUGACGCUGAGGAGCGAAAGCGUGGGGAGCGAACAGG